rnacentral:rRNA from 1 species
GAUGAACGCUGGCGGCGUGCCUAAUACAUGCAAGUCGAGCGAACAGAUAAGGAGCUUGCUCCUUUGACGUUAGCGGCGGACGGGUGAGUAACACGUGGGUAACCUACCUAUAAGACUGGGAUAACUUCGGGAAACCGGAGCUAAUACCGGAUAACAUUUGGAACCGCAUGGUUCUAAAGUGAAAGAUGGUUUUGCUAUCACUUAUAGAUGGACCCGCGCCGUAUUAGCUAGUUGGUAAGGUAACGGCUUACCAAGGCGACGAUACGUAGCCGACCUGAGAGGGUGAUCGGCCACACUGGAACUGAGACACGGUCCAGACUCCUACGGGAGGCAGCAGUAGGGAAUCUUCCGCAAUGGGCGAAAGCCUGACGGAGCAACGCCGCGUGAGUGAUGAAGGGUUUCGGCUCGUAAAACUCUGUUAUUAGGGAAGAACAAAUGUGUAAGUAACUGUGCACGUAUUGACGGUACCUAAUCAGAAAGCCACGGCUAACUACGUG